rnacentral:rRNA from 1 species
AUUGAACGCUGGCGGCAUGCCUUACACAUGCAAGUCGAACGGCAGCACGGGAGCAAUCCUGGUGGCGAGUGGCGAACGGGUGAGUAAUACAUCGGAACGUGCCCAGCAGUGGGGGAUAACCCGGCGAAAGCCGGACUAAUACCGCAUACGACCUACGGGUGAAAGCGGGGGAUCGCAAGACCUCGCGCUAUCGGAGCGGCCGAUGUCAGAUUAGCUAGUUGGUUGGGUAAAGGCCUACCAAGGCGACGAUCUGUAGCUGGUCUGAGAGGACGACCAGCCACACUGGGACUGAGACACGGCCCAGACUCCUACGGGAGGCAGCAGUGGGGAAUGUUGGACAAUGGGCGCAAGCCUGAUCCAGCCAUGCCGCGUGCGGGAAGAAGGCCUUCGGGUUGUAAACCGCUUUUGUCAGGGAAGAAACGCUCCGGGCUAAUACCACGGAGUAAUGACGGUACCUGAAGAAUAAGCACCGGCUAACUACGUG